UACGGAGGGUGCAAGCGUUAUUCGGAAUUAUUGGGCGUAAAGGGCGUGUAGGCGGCCAGAUAAGUCAGAGGUGAAAGCCCGGGGCUCAACCCCGGAAGUGCCUUUGAAACUAUCUGGCUUGAGUGCGGGAGAGGAAAGCGGAAUUCCCAGUGUAGAGGUGAAAUUCGUAGAUAUUGGGAGGAACACCGGUGGCGAAGGCGGCUUUCUGGACCGACACUGACGCUGAGGCGCGAAAGCGUGGGGAGCAAACAGG
rnacentral:rRNA from 1 species